rnacentral:rRNA from 1 species
GGGGUACUCGAGCGGCGAACGGGUGAGUAACACGUGAGUAAUCUGCCCCUAGCUCUGGGAUAGCUCCGGGAAACCGGGAUUAAUACCAGAUACGACCACAUUAGACAUCUGAUGUGGUGGAAAGGAUUCCGGCUAGGGAUGAGCUCGCGGCCUAUCAGCUUGUUGGUGGGGUAACGGCCUACCAAGGCGACGACGGGUAGCCGGCCUGAGAGGGCGACCGGCCACACUGGGACUGAGACACGGCCCAGACUCCUACGGGAGGCAGCAGUGGGGAAUAUUGCGCAAUGGGCGAAAGCCUGACGCAGCGACGCCGCGUGGGGGAUGAAGGCCUUCGGGUUGUAAACCCCUUUCAGCAGGGACGAAGCGAAAGUGACGGUACCUGCAGAAGAAGCGCCGGCUAACUACGUGCCAGCAGCCGCGGUAAC